GGCAACAACCAACUAUAUACAGAGGAUAAGGUAAAAUCUGCUCCAUGAUUCAGGAUAAGAUAGGCCAGAAUUUGCAUCGGCCGUUGCAGGCAAUCCCGCAAUCUGCUUCAAACUACAGCGAGUACGACAAGAUAAAACUCGCUAUGCUGUUCAUGAUAAGAUGAACAACAGAUGCAUCGGUCGCCAUCGCCGAUCCGUCUCGCCGCUAUCCCGCCACGGCGCUAUGAUCCACGAGGUGAGGUGAGGUGAGGAGAGGGGAGGGGAGGGGAGGAGGAUUCGGGGGGGUGGUGGGGGGCGCGAGGU
rnacentral:lncRNA from 1 species